GGGUGGGCAGGCUGGAGUAGACAGGAACCACGAGAGGCAGGGAGGACUGUACAGGGGUUGCUGACCAGGUGGAAGAUGAUGGGAGCCUCAGAAGGUGUCGUGGGACAGGGUCAGGGAGAGGGCUCUAUGCGGCCAGGAUCUGGAUGCAGAUUGUUGAGACUGAAAUUUGGCUCAGAUCCCUUCUAGUUGUGUCUGUUUAUCUUCAGUUUCCUUGUCUAUAAAAUGGGGAGAGAUUGUGUGUCCCCGGCAUCACUGGACUGUUAAUAGCUAUUGCAUUUAUAGCAUUUAUCCCAGAACCUGAAACACAGUAAAUGCUCAGUAAGUGUUAUUAUUUGCCCCAAACUGUCUUAGUGCUUUCCCCAAGAGCUUUGUGUUGUUUGUACUAUGAGGAAUAAUGAGGGUGGUGUGGGAGUCGGCCUCUGUGUCUGCAGAGAGGACCACAGGCCACAGGAAUAGAGACAGGUAGAUAGGAUCAAGGUGACAGGAACAGAUGUUCAGAGCAAGAGAUGAAGACGGCAUCAUCAACCCAGACAAGCCAGUUGGAGGCAUCUGUCCACCCAUGUGGUUCCAGACACGUUCAUGUGGCCACCAUGACCCCGUCGGCAUCACAGGGGUAACCAAGAGAGCAGCAAGUUCCUGGGACAGAGGAGACAGAAGGGAAUUUCCAGGUUCUUCAGGACGUUCACAACCACACUGAGAAGCAUCUUUGCAGAUAAGUAUUUAAACUUACCAGCCCAUAGCCUACCAGCCUGCCCUCUUCUGGUCUGUGCAGGAAAGUGUAGUAUCCUAGAAUGCCAAAGUGGGAGGGGAAAUGGGUGAUGUAGCUCAUUCUCUUUUCUACCUCUAUGGAAGAAAGAAAGAGCCUGUCCCCAUUUUGUGGGGUCCCAGAAAGGGUGAUUUUCACACUUCACAUUUGGCGUUAGGGCUAGUAUUUCACAAACAUUACCGUCUGGAACUUUUGAAGGCUGAGUUAAAUGACUUCAUCUUGUGUACUUGUAGAACUGCUAUUAGAAGGAGGCUGGGGACUCCCUGAUGAUGUGAACCAGCCCUUCUCUUCUCAGUUUCAGCACUUUGUGAUCAUAUUUAUAAACCUUGGACAGGGCUCCUUGGCCUUAGAGUUAAGUGAAGAGUUAACACUGUGACUUUAGAUGCAUUUUUCUCAGUGUAAGUGUCUGAGCUCAUCUCCAGUUCUGGACUCGUGCCCCCACUCCCGGGUGCUGACAGCAAGCUCUGAAGAUAUGCUGAGAGAGCUCCCUGACUCUCCUGACUCAGGUCUGCCAGUUGAUGAAGACAGCACAGUUGUUACCAAAAACAAAA
rnacentral:lncRNA from 1 species